UACGUAGGGCGCAAGCGUUGUCCGGAUUUAUUGGGCGUAAAGAGCUCGUAGGCGGUCCGUCACGUCGGCUGUGAAAACCCGAGGCUCAACCUCGGGCCUGCAGUCGAUACGGGCAGACUAGAGUGCGGUAGGGGAGACUGGAAUUCCUGGUGUAGCGGUGGAAUGCGCAGAUAUCAGGAGGAACACCAAUGGCGAAGGCAGAUCUCUGGGCCGUAACUGACGCUGAGGAGCGAAAGCAUGGGGAGCGAACAGG
rnacentral:rRNA from 1 species